UACAGAGGUCCCAAGCGUUGUUCGGAUUCAUUGGGCGUAAAGGGCGCGUAGGCGGCGUGACAAGUCACUUGUGAAAUCUCUGAGCUUAACUCAGAACGGCCAAGUGAAACUGUUGUGCUAGAGUGCAGAAGGGGCAAUCGGAAUUCUUGGUGUAGCGGUGAAAUGCGUAGAUAUCAAGAGGAACACCUGAGGUGAAGACGGGUUGCUGGGCUGACACUGACGCUGAGGCGCGAAAGCCAGGGGAGCAAACGGG
rnacentral:rRNA from 1 species